UACGUAGGGGGCAAGCGUUGUCCGGAUUUAUUGAGCGUAAAGAGCGUGUAGGCGGCCAGGUAGGUCAGCUGUGAAAACUCGAGGCUCAACCUCGAGACGCCGGUUGAAACCAUCUGGCUAGAGUCCGGAAGAGGAGAGUGGAAUUCCUGGUGUAGCGGUGAAAUGCGCAGAUAUCAGGAAGAACACCCGUGGCUAAGGCGGCUCUCUAGUACGGUACUGACGCUGAGACGCGAAAGCGUGGGGAGCGAACAGG
rnacentral:rRNA from 1 species